rnacentral:rRNA from 2 species
CUCCGUGAAAANUGUNACGUUGCCAAGCUGUUUAGUCCCGGCAAAUUUAUUUGGGUCNGUAAAGUCCGCUNACCAUCAAAUGCUGGUUUUUCUUUAAGUUCUUAAUUUUGAAAUCCCCCCAACUGGCUUCAAACCCUCUUGUAGGGGUUCAACUUUGGUAACCUUGUGGGAAACUUUUGAUGUUCCCAUGUAAGNAUGUCNANGCCGUGGAAUUUUCCACGUGUGUUAUUCCGGGUGAUAAAUUGCCGUUAGAAGAUUUGGAGUAACACCAGUGGUCUAAGGCGUGCUUUUUUGGUCUGUAACUGACUGCUGAGUGCUCGUAAUGCUUGGUGUAUCAUNACAGUGGAUUAGAUACCCUGGUAGUCCACGUCCGGUAUAACGAUGUAGUGCUAAGUGUUAGAGGGNUUUCCGCCCUUUAGUGUCUGCAGUCUAACGCAUUAAGCACUCCGCCUGGGGAUGUACGGUCGCAAGACUGAAACUCAAAGGAAUUGACGGGGGCCCGCACAAGUCGGUGGAGCAUGUUGGUUUAAUUCGAAGCAACGCGAAGAACCUUACCAGGUCUUGACAUCCUCUGACAACUCUAGAGAUAGAGCGUUCCCCUUCGGGGGACAGAGUGACAGGUGGUGCAUGGUUGUCGUCAGCUCUGUGUCGUGAGAUGUUGGGUUAAGUCCCGCAACGAGCGCAACCCUUGAUCUUAGUUGCCAGCAUUUAGUUGGGCACUCUAAGGUGACUGCCGGUGACAAACCGGAGGAAGGUGGGGAUGACGUCAAAUCAUCAUGCCCCUUAUGACCUGGGCUACACACGUGCUACAAUGGAUGGUACAAAGGGCUGCAAGACCGCGAGGUCAAGCCAAUCCCAUAAAACCAUUCUCAGUUCGGAUUGUAGGCUGCAACUCGCCUACAUGAAGCUGGAAUCGCUAGUAAUCGCGAUCAGCAUCCGCGGAUACNUCC